GACGAACGCUGGCGGCGUGCCUAAUACAUGCAAGUCGAGCGCUUCUUUCCUCCCGAGUGCUUGCACUCAAUUGGAAAGAGGAGUGGCGGACGGGUGAGUAACACGUGGGUAACCUACCCAUCAGAGGGGGAUAACACUUGGAAACAGGUGCUAAUACCGCAUAACAGUUUAUGCCGCAUGGCAUAAGAGUGAAAAGCGCUUUCGGGUGUCGUUGAUGGAUGGACCCGCGGUGCAUUAGCUAGUUGGUGAGGUAACGGCUCACCAAGGCCACGAUGCAUAGCCGACCUGAGAGGGUGAUCGGCCACACUGGGACUGAGACACGGCCCAGACUCCUACGGGAGGCAGCAGUAGGGAAUCUUCGGCAAUGGACGAAAGUCUGACCGAGCAACGCCGCGUGAGUGAAGAAGGUUUUCGGAUCGUAAAACUCCGUUGUUAGAGAAGAACAAGGACGUUAGUAACUGAACGUCCCCUGACGGUAUCUAACCAGAAAGCCACGGCUAACUACGUG
rnacentral:rRNA from 1 species